UACGUAGGGGGCAAGCGUUGUCCGGAUUUAUUGGGCGUAAAGAGCGUGUAGGCGGCCUUACAGGUCAGCUGUGAAAACUCGAGGCUCAACCUCGAGACGCCGGUGGAAACCAUCAGGCUAGAGUCCGGAAGAGGAGAGCGGAAUUCCUGGUGUAGCGGUGAAAUGCGCAGAUAUCAGGAAGAACACCCGUGGCUAAGGCGGCUCUCUAGUACGGUACUGACGCUGAGACGCGAAAGCGUGGGGAGCGAACAGG
rnacentral:rRNA from 1 species